GACGAACGCUGGCGGCAGGCUUAACACAUGCAAGUCGAACGAGAAUCUAGAGCUUGCUCUAGAGGACAGUGGCGCACGGGUGAGUAACGCGUAGGCAACCUACCCCUAGAAUUGGAAGAACUCCGGGAAACCGAAGCUAAUACCGAAUAACAUCUUAAGAUCGCAUGGUCUAUAGAUCAAAACUCCGGUGUCUAGGGAUGGGCCUGCGUAAGAUUAGGUAGUUGGUGGGGUAAUGGCCCACCAAGCCGACGAUCUUUAGCUGGUCUGAGAGGAUGAUCAGCCACACUGGCACUGAGACACGGGCCAG
rnacentral:rRNA from 1 species